AUUCAACCUCCUGCCUUUUGUGUCUCUUUACCCGUUAUCGCAGUUUCGUUUACCUAAUUUUUCUCUGUGUACUAAAAAACAGGUGUGGAGCUGUUAAGAUUCUCUCCCAACCAUAUUCUUAAUUUCAGUUUCAUCGUUUCAUCUCAUAAGACCUGUCUAUGCUGAUUUUAGCAUCUCAGUACUCCAAGGACAUAUAGAAGCCUCACUGAUGAGAAGGUACAGAGAUGCCUUUUCUGCUGCCAAGACUGAUAGACCUUCAGGGCACAGGAACCCUGCCCUUAUCCUGUUGCAAGCCCAAAAGCAUGUGGUAAUAUGUGUGGGUCCAAAGUCUUCGUGUUUGUAGUGGGAAGCAGACAAUCUAGCCUACAGUGUCUAUACGUAUCUGGCAGAAUGCUGCAUUACAGCCAGCUUCCAUGAGGUUUGUAUGCAGGGCAAAAACCAAAGUCCACUGAACUCACUGAAUGCUGAAAAAGACCAGCAAUAUCUGAAAAAAGACAAUAGUUGAGUACAUUUAAAAGACAGAUUAAACCUACCAAAACACACAAGAAUCU
rnacentral:lncRNA from 1 species